rnacentral:rRNA from 1 species
UACCAGCUCUCCGAGUGGUAGGGAUGAUUAUUGGGCUUAAAGCGUCCGUAGCCGGCUUAGCAAGUCUCCUGUUAAAUUCAGCGACCUAAUCGUUGAGCCGCGGGAGAUACUACUAGGCUAGGAGGCGGGAGAGGUCAACGGUACUUCCGGGGUAGGGGUGAAAUCCUAUAAUCCCGGGAGGACCACCAGUGGCGAAGGCCGUUGACUAGAACGCGCUCGACGGUGAGGGACGAAAGCUGGGGGAGCGAACCGGGUUAGAUACCCGGGUAGUCCCAGCUGUAAACGAUGCGAGCUAGGUGUUGGGGUGGCUACGUGCCACUUCAGUGCCGCAGGGAAACCAUUAAGCCCGCCGCCUGGGGAGUACGGCCGCAAGGCUGAGACUUAAAGGAAUUGGCGGGGAGCACCACGAGGCGUGAAGCUUGCGGUUC